rnacentral:rRNA from 1 species
UACGAAGGGGGCUAGCGUUGCUCGGAAUUACUGGGCGUAAAGGGCGCGUAGGCGGAUAGUUUAGUCAGAUGUGAAAGCCCCGGGCUCAACCUGGGAACUGCAUUUGAGACUGCUCUGCUCGGGUGCGGAAGAGGGAAGCGGAAUUUCCGGUGUAGCGGUGAAAUGCGUAGAUAUCGGAAGGAACACCAGUGGCGAAAGCGGCUUCCUGGUCCGACACCGACGUUCAGGCACGAAAGCGUGGGGAGCAAACAGG